ACAUAAAUGCAUGAUCCAACCACAACUUUUAGAAAGCUUUAAACUUUAUUUUCUCUUUCUCAUCUCUCUCUCUCUCCCUCACUUGUAAUGUGUUGAUUUAAUGGUUUGAAAAACAACCUGGGAAAGGAAGAAAAAGAGAAGAAAAAAAAAACUUUGAAUCUCUCUUCUUCUUCUUCUUGAUCUUCUUUUCUUUCUCUAAUUAUAAUGAAAGAAAAGAAAACCCAUGUGAGUGUGAGAUUUGAUGAUGAGAUGCCCAAACCCCAAAAUCUGUUCUCAAAAUCAAUUCCAUUUCAUCAUCUUUGAGGAAAAAAAAAGAAUUUUUUUCUUUUUUUUUUCCUUCUCUCCUCAACUGUACUUUUUUUUCUCUCAUCUAAGAAACUUUCCUUUUUGGCCACUGUUUUAUCUGCUUCAUGAUCAGAUAGAUAAGAAGAAGAACAAGCAAAAGAAAGUGAUUAAUGAAGACACAGAGAUGAAGCAAAAGAAGAAAAAAAAAGUUUACUUUUUUUUGUUUGUUUGUUUGUUUGCUUGCUUUUCUUUCUUUACCCUAAACCCUAAUUAAUAAAAACUUCCCAUAAGGGUCUGUUAGAAUUUUAUGAGAAUUUUUGCUUUUUUUGGCACUUUUCCUUAUCUGGGUUUCCAGAAUUUUUUUCUGAUUUGAUUUGACCCUUUACAAAAGGGAUUGUUAUUAUCAUUGUUUUCUAAAUGUUGAAUAAUAAUAAUAAGAAGAAGAAGAAGAAUUAAUUAAAGGUGAUUAAAAUUGAGGGGAAUGGUGUUAGUAAAAUUAGAAGUUGACAGAAGAGAGUGAGCACACAGAGGCUUUUGGUAUAAUAAUAUGCCAUUGCUCUUGUGUGCUCACUUCUCUUUCUGUCAGUUUCCCUUGCCAAUUCCUUUCCCUUUUCUAAAAAAUUCUUUACCCUUUUUUUAUAUAUUUUGAUGUAAAGUUUAAUUCUUCUUUUGUUUUUAUGAUUAUAUUGUAUUUUUUCUAAAGGAUUUUGUUCUGUAAUUUCACUUUCUCAGUUCCAGGUAAUUUUCUUUCUUCUCUCUCUCUCUCUCUCUCUCAUAUUUUCUUCAAGUAUUAUAGUUCAUGGGAUAAUAAAAUUGAGAUGGGUUUUCAUAUCUUGUGUUGUAAAAGGGUUUUUCAUCUUUAUUUUCAUAUAUCAUUUGGAAUUCUCUACUAAAGAAAAAGAAAAAGGGGGUUUUCUUUUUCCCCUUUGUUAUUUCCAUGGAUUGAUUGAGUUUUAUUCUUUAUUUGUAGAUUUGACUCAUGAAUUUGCCAUCUUUCUUCUUCCAUUAUUGUUCUUUUUGAGCUCUGAAACAGAAAUCAAUGGAGGAGGAUCUGCUAAAGAAAGACACAAGAUUGUUAUUAUUGUUGUUGUUAUCAUUAGAUUUUUUUAUCAACGAGGGAAAAAAUGGUAAUAAUUUUGAUUUUGUUUGAAGAUCUUUGUGUCCUUCAGUUUUAAGAUCACUCGUACGUCAAAUGCAGUGAUAAAAGUUAAUAUAUUGUUUGAUUCUUUUUCUAUUUUACUUAACUUUGAAAUUCAAUUAUUACUUCAUUGAAUAUAUAAUAAUGUCCAUCUUUCUUUGUUUACUUGUUUAUCAUUUUCGUUUUAAUUAUUUUCAUAUAUCAAUAAAUCAUAUGGUUGGUUGCAUUCAGCUCGACUAACUAUAAGUUAUCUAACCCUAAAGAUUAUGGACACGUCUCGAUUAACUUUUUAACUAUUUAAAGUACUACUUAUUUUCUUUCAAUUAGAAGUCAAUCCAAGUCGAACCUAUAUUAUUAGUCAUUGUAAUUAGGACAAGCACUUAGGGAGCAUAUAGUUACUAUUGUAGCUACCAGAGAGGUUGGCGUUUGUGGUAUAGACUACACUUGGUUACAUUACACUCUUGGAUAUGUGAUGUCUUUCCUGUCAAUGAAAAACAAUGAAUGACAUUAUUUCAUUCUCUAGAUGAAAAAAUAUGAAGGAAAAGAUUGAAAAUUCAUGUAACAAAUUGUUGAAUGUUUUUCUUUUUAACAAUGUUUAAGAUAAAACAUCUAAGUUAUUUGCAAGACAUUAGGUUGUUGCAGAUUUUACAUCAAAUUCAUGCAUUUGCCUCGAUAUUUUAUAGGAGUGGAGAGUUGAUUUUUUUUUUUACUAAAUCACUAUUAAUCCGGCUAUGCAUGGUUUAGUAAAUAUCUUAGUCAAGUAGUAAAUUUCAGUCGAUUGGUUUAACUAGUCUUUGAAAUAUUUUUUUAUGUUUUUCUAAACCAACAUCCAACUGGUUUUGAUUUGGUUAGUCGACUUGGUUUUUUGGUCUAUCUAUCAUGCUCAAUCUUGUAUAUUUAUUUGAUGGGUGAUAUCACUCUCAAAAUGUUUUUUUAUAUCUAUUCACUCUUUCUUUCUUUUUUUUGGUUAGUUACUGCUUUUGAAUGGAACAAUAUAUAUAUAUUUGACCUGUUGUGCCAAGAAGAUGUUGUGUGAAAGUUGGGUUCUUCAGUGGUUGAUGAUUUUGUAACAUAUCUUGUUUAUUUCAAGAUGCUAAUUAAUUUUCUAAUGUAUUUGUCAGUUAUGACAGAAUGCAACUAAUCAAUAUCUUCUAUACUUCUAUACAUUAAUGUUUUUAUAUAAUUACACAUGUUUUUGUUCCCUUUCAAGAAGUGUCAAUAAACUGAAAUUUUGCUACGACAAACAAUUUCUUGAUGUGUAUAUCUUAAAUUAUGAUGCAUGUUAUUGGAUUUUAGUCUAUAUAAAAUAAUAAUCAUCUCCUCGUUCUUUAUUUAUUAUUUUUAUCGUCCUUUCCUUUUGCAUCCAUUAUCUUGUUUGUAUGUUUAUGUGGCCAAAUGAUGAAAUUAUGGAAUUUUUCAAGAUGACUAAUGGUUCUAUUUGUUGGCCUUCAAAGGGAAUGAUUGAAGACCUGAACUGUAUCUUUGAGUGUGUGUUGAAUCCCUAUUUAAUGAUGAAUACUCUUAUCAUUAGUUAUAUAUAUAUACACAAAAUGUGAUCCAACAAUGAGAUAAAUACUAGAUGAGCAAACCCCCAGUAAUGGAUGGAACUCAGUUGAUCGCCUUGAACUUCCUCCCAUGUCAAUGACCUGGCUGAGGUCGAAGGAGACAGGAAUUAGCACAUCAAAUGGUAGAAUCAUACAACGAAAACACAGGUUCGACGAGUAAAAGUUAUGAGGGGGUUAAACAUCUGAUGUAAUGCAAGAGUAUUGUGUUGAGCAUUAAUCUACAAAAUGCUUGCUUUGCUUCAGGUAGAAAAAAGUUGUUGCCUGAUGCUGCCAAUGUGUUUAAUAUUAGAUUGAAACUCUUGCUCUUAACUUCAAAAAGACCAUUACUUUUUUGGACUUUCA